UACGGUGGGGGCAAGCGUUGUUCGGAAUUACUGGGCGUAAAGGGCUCGUAGGCGGCCAACUAAGUCAGACGUGAAAUCCCUCGGCUUAACCGGGGAACUGCAUCUGAUACUGGAUGGCUUGAGUUCGGGAGAGGGAUGUGGAAUUCCAGGUGUAGCGGUGAAAUGCGUAGAUAUCUGGAGGAACACCGGUGGCGAAGGCGGCAUCCUGGACCGACACUGACGCUGAGGAGCGAAAGCCAGGGGAGCAAACGGG
rnacentral:rRNA from 1 species